GAGAGGAUUUUAGAGAGAUAAGUGAGAGAGAGUUUAGAGAGAAGGUUCAUCAUUUUCUUCUUCUUCAAAAAAAAAAAAAGAAAAACCCUAACAAGAAUCUUCCUCAAACACCAUCAAGAGGUCAUCUUUACCUCUUCUACUCUUCACAAAGGAGCUAGCAUUCAAGGUGAGGAACACCUUGAAGGAAAUCAGACUAGAGAAGUUAAGGAGAAAGCCAAGGAUCGAGGAUGAGCAAGAGACCGUUAGAUGCAGGAGAUGAGACGUUGCCGAGAAAUGGUGUGACGACGAGCUAUCGAAUCAAAGAUUAGUCGUGUUAAAAUUGCAGGGAGCUUGAUGGGCAUAAGAGGCUUUCCUUUUAUAUUCCUUUUGGAGUCUAUGUUGUGAUUAUAUUCGUCGAUGUAAGGGUAUUUAUAUUGUUGGGUAUUAUGUACGCAUUUGUUAGAGCAUAUAUGAU